UGUUUUUUACUAUUCUAGAGAGAACACUUUACAUUUGUAUAUUUAAGCUGCACCAUUAACUUUUAUAAACAAUAUGCUUUUUACAUGUCUCUUAAAUCUGUCAUUGUAUCCUGACAGUUUUUUGUGUGAAAAAAAUAAACUCCUCUCCUUUCUCCCUGUGGUCCUACUGCCAUGUGCAGAAAUACAACGCUUCCUGUCGCAAACCAAUCAGACCCAGGAGGAAAGUCUUAGUACUGUCAGAUACUCUCGUGUACAUGCUGAUGGUUUUAACAAAUGUAUAAAAAACAUAUUGUUUAUAAAAGUUGCACGCUGCAGCUUCAAGCAUUGCACCUGGCAUCUAAUAAAUCUGUAGUUCACCUUCAUUUUCUUGUAAUUAUUUGGACAAUCUGUAAUUUACUGGACACAAAAAUUAUUAAAUAUGCUAAAAGAAUAAAAACUUUCAUGAUGAAAUUGUGCAUGUACACUAUAACUGUUGAAUAAAUUAUGAAAUUAAGCAAUAUUACAGUUCCAAUUCAAUUUUAGUAAGGACACUAGAAAUUAGUCAUUCAUAGUAAAUUCAUCAACAGAAUCCAGUUUGACCUGCUUCAAAUACAGUUCCAGUCAGAUUCAUCAUAAAAUGUUAAUAAAUACUGGUCUCUGAGGUAUGUUUUAAAGUGACAGAUUGCAUUAAAUCUUUACUUGGAUGCAGUCCUUUGUCUUGAGUAGAAACAACAUGACAGUGGUGAGGAAGCAUUGUUUGACAAGAUAACGGUUUAAAAGACAGGACAUAGAUAGACAUAGAGACACUGAUGGGGCUGGUAACAAUCUCUUUAUUGCAUAAAGUUAGUAAACAUAAUUGUGAAUGUUAACAUCAAGAAGAGGGAAAAUAUGAAGGAAAAUGCUCAAGCUAUUCUGGCCUCCAAACAGCGUAAUCUCAGCCUAAUCUCUAGAAAUGGUUGUUUCUCUGGGUUUUAUCAUCUUAUUAAAAUGGAAAAUUUUAAGUGCAGUUUUAAAAGUAAUGUGUCUGCCUCACAGACAAAACCAGGAUCUGGUUACACAAGAAGAGUAGACUGAUAAAUGGAAGUUCAGCUUUAGAUUCUUUCAGAAACUCGAGGAACUCAUAAACCUUAGUGUGAGAGCAAAGUGAUCUGCAGGGAGCAAACAGAAUUACAACCUCUUUAAAGAAGGAGUUUGCUCAUUUGGGUUUUUAUCUGCAAGGAGACUUGAUCUAUUUGACAAUAGCAGAGCUUGUCCUGGUUCACCAAGGUUCCCCAGACUAUAGCAAGAAACAGAUCUGA